GACGAACGCUGGCGGCGUGCUUAACACAUGCAAGUCGAACGGAAAGGCCCUGCUUUUGUGGGGUGCUCGAGUGGCGAACGGGUGAGUAACACGUGAGUAACCUGCCCUUGACUUUGGGAUAACUUCAGGAAACUGGGGCUAAUACCGGAUAGGAGCUCCUGCUGCAUGGUGGGGGUUGGAAAGUUUCGGCGGUUGGGGAUGGACUCGCGGCUUAUCAGCUUGUUGGUGGGGUAGUGGCUUACCAAGGCUUUGACGGGUAGCCGGCCUGAGAGGGUGACCGGCCACAUUGGGCCUGAGAUACGGCCCAGACUCCUACGGGAGGCAGCAGUGGGGAAUAUUGCACAAUGGGCGGAAGCCUGAUGCAGCAACGCCGCGUGCGGGAUGACGGCCUUCGGGUUGUAAACCGCUUUCGCCUGUGACGAAGCGUGAGUGACGGUAAUGGGUAAAGAAGCACCAGCUAACUACGUG
rnacentral:rRNA from 1 species